UCCUUUUGGGACCCAAAAAAAAAAGUCAUUUCAAAUCUCAGUUUUUUGCUUAGAAACAAAACAAAACCCAAGGUUGCAAAUCAUUCAGAUUAAACUUCUAUCAGAUAAAACGAAGUCAAAACGUGAAAUUGAGAUAUAGGGUUAGAGAACCAAAACAAAGAAGAAGAAAAAGUUACCGGGGCGAAACAGAGCGGCUUCGUGGGGCUUUGAGUUUUCACAAGAGGUGCAAAGGCUAAAGAGGUUAUAUUUAGAAGGAUUAACACUUCAGUGAGAUAAAAGAUAAAGAAAGGCGAAC